rnacentral:rRNA from 1 species
AAAGUUAUUGAUCUCCUUAAUCGAACACCCAAGUACUGCGGAACACGUGAAAUUCUGUGGGAAUUGUGAGGACCAUCUCAUAAGGCUAAAUACUACCUGGCAACCGAUAGUGAACCAGUACCGUGAGGGAAAGGUGAAAAGAACCCCUGUGAGGGGAGUGAAAUAGUACCUGAAACCGUUUGCUUACAAGCAGUGGGAGCACGUUUGUCUUCGGACGAGUGUGACCGCGUGCCUUUUGCAUAAUGAGUCAGCGAGUUAAUCUACGUAGCGAGGUUAAGCCGUAAGGUGUAGCCGUAGCGAAAGCGAGUCUUAAAUGGGCGACGAGUUGCGUGGAUUAGACCCGAAACCAAGUGAUCUAUCCAUGGCCAGGGUGAAGCGUGAGUAAAAUCACGUGGAGGCCCGAACCGGUACACGUUGAAAAGUGUUCGGAUGAGCUGUGGAUA